rnacentral:rRNA from 1 species
CCUACGGGAGGCUGCAGUGGGGAAUAUUGCACAAUGGGCGCAAGCCUGAUGCAGCCAUGCCGCGUGUGUGAAGAAGGCCUUCGGGUUGUAAAGCACUUUCGGCGGGGAGGAAGGCGGUGAGGUUAAUAACCUCAUCGAUCGACGUUACCCGCAGAAGAAGCACCGGCUAACUCCGUGCCAGCAGCCGCGGUAAUACGGAGGGUGCAAGCGUUAAUCGGAAUUACUGGGCGUAAAGCGCACGCAGGCGGUCUGUCAAGUCGGAUGUGAAAUCCCCGGGCUCAACCUGGGAACUGCAUUCGAAACUGGCAGGCUAGAGUCUUGUAGAGGGGGGUAGAAUUCCAGGUGUAGCGGUGAAAUGCGUAGAGAUCUGGAGGAAUACCGGUGGCGAAGGCGGCCCCCUGGACAAAGACUGACGCUCAGGUGCGAAAGCGUGGGGAGCAAACAGGAUUAGAUACCCCGGUAGUC